GACGAACGCUGGCGGCGUGCCUAAUACAUGCAAGUCGAACGCUGAAGGAGGAGCUUGCUUCUCUGGAUGAGUUGCGAACGGGUGAGUAACGCGUAGGUAACCUGCCUGGUAGCGGGGGAUAACUAUUGGAAACGAUAGCUAAUACCGCAUAAGAGUAGAUGUUGCAUGACAUUUGCUUAAAAGGUGCAAUUGCAUCACUACCAGAUGGACCUGCGUUGUAUUAGCUAGUUGGUGGGGUAACGGCUCACCAAGGCGACGAUACAUAGCCGACCUGAGAGGGGGAUCGGCCAAACUGGGAAUGAGACACGGCCCAGACUCCUACGGGAGGCAGCAGUAGGGAAACUUCGGCAAUGGACGGAAGUCUGACCGAGCAACGCCGCGUGAGUGAAGAAGGUUUUCGGAUCGUAAAGCUCUGUUGUAAGAGAAGAACGAGUGUGAGAGUGGAAAGUUCACACUGUGACGGUAUCUUACCAGAAAGGGACGGCUAACUACGUG
rnacentral:rRNA from 1 species